UUUAUUCUUGUUAGGAAUUUAACACGGUUAAAUGGACAAGUGCUCGAUCUUGUCCCUUUCAGUUUGUUUCUGCUGGCUCGCUGUUACAUGGGCGGAUAAAUUGACAUUUGUCGCUUUAGUGUUCUUCAGCACAGUGAAGACGCUGUUCAGGGUUUUCACCUCAGAAAAGGACAGUGGGGGAGAAGAAGUGAGGGAUGAUGGACGUGGUCUUAGAAGGCAACUGAGUCUGUAGGAGCUUUAGUCCAUCACACCACCCACUGUUUGGCCAGAAGAUGUAGAAAGACUGAGCAAGACCAAGCAGGUGGUGUUGUCCAGUAAUGCAUCAUUAGAAGAUGGAGAAGACAGAGGAGCAGACGAAUAUCUAGAGGAGGUGGGGGUAUGAAAUACCUGCUUUCAAGUAUUUUUACAUUCACUUUGAGUUCUUCAUGAAGUCCUGUAGUCUGAUGAAAAAAAGUUAAGCUUGGGAAAUUUCAGCCAGAUGAAUUCAGGAGAAAUAUGGUUAAACAUUAAAUGUAGCUAUUUUGAAGAACACAUUUUCCACCCAACUCUAAUGCUUGCUUCUUAAGUUCAGCUGCAGCUUUCCUCUCCAAGUGCUGAAGCUCAUCCUGUUACACCAUGCUUGGUUGAAUCUCAGCUAAUACCCAACUCUACAUUUUUGUGAGAGGUGAGAAGCUCCUCCUUCCACCUGCAAAGGCAACUACAGAUAAGUUCUGCUCAACUACAGAUAAGUUUGGCCCAAGUCUUCUUUUUUGAAAUAAUUUGUAAGCUGCCAAAAAAAAUUCCUGUAAGAUUGUUUCUAUUAAAAAAAGAAACCCCCUUCAAUGUCAGUAAAAAUAGAUACCACUUCUGAGUAAACAUCUGAAUCAUGAAUCACUGGAUGCUGAGAAUAUUAAUGGGAAGCAUUAACACACACUUCCCAAAUUCUCUGCUCCUUCCCACUAGCCAUUGAUGCAGCCAGGAUUCACUGCCUCACCAGCUGCAUCAGAAAGGCUCAUGAAAACUCGAGAUAAAAUUCUGUGAUUCCUACUAUAAACUACUUUAGAAAUCUGAAACACCUUUUUAAAUACUGUCCUUGGCACACAGGGAAAAGUUAAAACAUCUAAAGUCACUUCAGUCCUAUGGUUUAAGCAGGGCACCCCUUCAAUGGCACACAAAACCUGUGACCAGCCCUAGAACAGACCCACAGAAUUUUUUAGGUGGAAAAUACCCUUAAGGUCAUGGAAUCCAACUGUUAACCCAGCUCUUCUGAGUCCACCACUCAACCAUGUCCCUAAGUGCCACAUUCACACAGCUUUUAAAUAACCCCAGGGGUGGUGACACCACCCACCACUUCCCUGGGCAGCCUGUUCAAAUGCUUGACAACUGUUUCAGUGAAGAAAUGGCUCCUGAUAUCCCAUCUAAACCCUCCCUGGCACAACUUGAGGCUGUUUCCUCUUGUCCUAUCUCUUGUUGCUUGGGAAAAGAAGCCAACACCCACGUGGCUAUUGUCUCUCUUCAGGCAAUUGUAGAGAGAGGUAAGGUCCCUCCAGAUCCUCCUUUUCUCCAGGCUAAACACUCCCAGCUCUCUCAGCUGCUCCUCACAGGACUCUCCAGACCCUUCCCCAGCUCUGUUGCCCUCUCUGGACUCUCUCCAGCCCCUCAAUGUCUGUCUUGCAGUGAGGGGCCCAGAACUGGACACAGCACUCGAGGUGUGGCCUCACCAGUGCCCA